UGGGAAGUAGUUCAGUUUGGUUAGAACGCCUGAUUUGGGAUCAGGAGGUCGUGAGUUCAAAUCUCGCCUUUCCAA
rnacentral:tRNA from 1 species